GAUGCUUUGGCCGAGUGGUUAAGGCGUACGCCUGCUAAGUGUAUGUGAUAUUCACGCGCAGGUUCGAAUCCUGCAGGCAUCG